rnacentral:rRNA from 1 species
GACGAACGCUGGCGGCGUGCUUAACACAUGCAAGUCGAACGGAGUGGCGAACGGAUGAGUAACACGCGGGUGAUCUGCCUUGCACUUCGGGAUAAGCUUGGGAAACUGGGUCUCUUACCGGAUAGUGCAAGAUGAGCUCGCGGCCUAUCAGCUUGUUGGUGGGGUAAUGGCCUAACAAGGCGUCGACGGGUAGCCGGCCUGAGAGGGUGUACGGCCACAGUGGGACUGGGAUACGGGCCAGACGGCUACGGGAGGCAGCAGUGGGGAAUAGUGCACAAUGGGCGGAAGCCUGAUGCAGGGACGCCGCGUGGGGGAUGAAGGCCAUCGGGUUGUAAACGCCUUUCGACAGGGACGCGGUACCUGUAUAAGAAGCACCGGCUAACUACGUGCCAGCAGCCGCGGUAAUAC